AUUCAGUUGAAGAGUCCAAAAUAGGACGAAGUGCAUGUCCUAGAU
rnacentral:hammerhead_ribozyme from 1 species